AAAAAAACAAACCCUGAGUUUCCGUGUCCAACGUUUGACCGUCCGUCUUAUUUGAAAAAAUUAUUAAAAAAAAUUAAAAAGACAAGUCACGCAUAAAUUAUUAAUCAUAUUUUAUCAUCUAACAACAAUGAAAAUACUAAUUAUAAAAAAAUUUCAUAUAAGACGGACAGUUAAACAUUGAAUACGGAAACCCAGGGUUUAUUUUAUU
rfam:Oryza glumipatula chromosome 6, whole genome shotgun sequence.